GCUGCUGCACGCCCGGGGCGUACAGUUCACAGAUCAAACGCGGGUGGCCUGCGCUCGCAGGUUGAGAUAUGACCGUAGCAGCUCCGCCAGGAGUCCUGGCAUGCUAGUUCCGUAGGUGAACCUGCGGAAGGAUCAUUA
rnacentral:rRNA from 1 species